rnacentral:rRNA from 1 species
UACGUAGGGACCGAGCGUUGUCCGGAAUCAUUGGGCGUAAAGAGCGUGUAGGCGGCCUGUUAAGUCUUGCGUGAAAUCUCGGGGCUCAACUCUGAGUCGGCCGGUGAUACUCUCGUGCUUGAGCACUGUAGAGGCAGGUGGAAUUCCGGGUGUAGCGGUGGAAUGCGUAGAGAUCCGGAAGAACACCGGUGGCGAAGGCGGCCUGCUGGGCAGUAGCUGACGCUGAUGCGCGACAGCGUGGGGAGCAAACAGG